GUGACUGAAAACUCCUGAGGCAUUUCCUGGACUAGAAUGGGUAGUGAAGACCCAUGUCAGUUUUGAAGUAGUUAUUACUUAAAAGUUAUUGAUACAAUUUCUGGCAGUAGCUGUUCAAUAAUACAUAAUAGCUGAUCAGAUUAUUUUUACAUCACUGAGAGUUUGUAAGUGAUAGAGCUAGGAUUUGAUCCCAAGAAUGGCCCACCAUCAACUUCCUCGCUUCCUAGCCCUCUCUUCCCCCACCACAGUUUCCAUAGAGUCUCCAGGGUGGACACUUGGCAGUGACAGUUACUAUUGAGGGAAUACUCUGACCCUUCCUUACCUACGGAUACAGGCUUAGGGUUUGUCCCACCUUUAUACUCUCUUCCACCAAAUCCCACCUCCUGUCCCAGGCUAAGAAUGAAGUUAGAGAUGCAUUAACACCUGCUAGAACUUUGUGGCCACCAAAAAUGUGGAUUAGAGUGUGUUAGGCAACACAUGGGCUCACUGUCUUCUUGAUAUGUUCCUGUACUUUGUAUGACCCUACAGAGGCUGCUGUUUGCUGGCAGUACUACUAGUAAGUAGUCAUUUUCAUUUUUUUCCCUCAUUUUAUUCUCAGUCUAUGCCAUCCACUGAUCUAUCAGAGGACUCCUGAAACCUGGAGAGCUACCUGCUGUAUAAAGGCUGGCCUGAGGGCAUUUGCUGAACACAGAGAAACCCAGGAGAGGAGAUCAGCAGUUUUCUUUCACUCUACUUGAUCUGUCAGAUUUACCCACAGAAAGCCAGUCAGGAUCCCUUAAGAGUCUUUAGGCCCAGAAUGGAGUCCUCAGGGCUGCAGGGGACUGUGGUGCUAACAAUUAAACUGUUCAAGACUUUAAAGAGUUGAAGGGGACUAAUGGGUAUCCCUAGCAUGGCCUCCUAGAUGGGAAUUAACUGGCAACUCCUACUGUGCCAUUCCCAGUAUGUGUGCUUCCCUUUAGCCUCCCAUAGAAUUGGCUGAAACACCCUACCACCGUUUUCUGUUUCCCCACUACCACACCUGUGUUAUGGGUGUCAGCCUGUGAGUCCUUGAACCCUUCCAGAGGGCUCCCAAGGGAGGGUGAUCACUGCCCUUCCAUAAAAGGCUGAGGAAAGCCAAGUGAGAAGAUUCAAUUAAUUUGGGCAAGUUAUUUAACAUCUGAACCUGUUUUUCUCUUCAUUGUUUAUUACUUACCUUGUCCAAAAAGGUCAUAAAGGGUAGGGCUUUUUCUGUUCCACCUCUGUACUAUAUUUCUCCCCAACAAAUAUCUGCCCCUGAGGACCUCAAUAAAGGUUUGGUCAAGUGAUG
rnacentral:lncRNA from 1 species